rnacentral:pre_miRNA from 1 species
UGAUGCGACAUCUUAUCUGGCAAUAUUGGAAAUCUGCAGUGAACUGUUUGUUGCAGUUUCUCUAAUUCUAAUACUGUCAGGUAAUGAUGUCUGGCGGA